UACGGAGGGUGCGAGCGUUGUCCGGAAUCACUGGGCGUAAAGGGCGCGUAGGCGGCCUGAUAAGUAGGGGGUGAAAUCCUGCGGCUUAACCGCAGGGCUGCCUUCUAAACCGUCAGGCUAGAGCACAGUAGAGGCAGGUGGAAUUCCCGGUGUAGCGGUGAAAUGCGCAGAUAUCAGGAGGAACACCGGUGGCGAAGGCGGAUCUCUGGGCCAUUACUGACGCUGAGGAGCGAAAGCGUGGGGAGCGAACAGG
rnacentral:rRNA from 1 species